AUUGAACGCUGGCGGCAGGCUUAACACAUGCAAGUCGAACGGUAGCAGGAGAAAGCUUGCUUUCUUGCUGACGAGUGGCGGACGGGUGAGUAAUGCUUGGGAAUCUGGCUUAUGGAGGGGGAUAACUACGGGAAACUGUAGCUAAUACCGCGUAAUAUCUUCGGAUUAAAGAAUGGGACUUUUAGUCAUUCGCUAUAAGAUGAGCCCAAGUGGGAUUAGGUAGUUGGUGGGGUAAAGGCCUACCAAGCCGACGAUCUCUAGCUGGUCUGAGAGGAUGACGAGCCACACUGGAACUGAGACACGGUCCAGACUCCUACGGGAGGCAGCAGUGGGGAAUAUUGCGCAGUGGGGGCAACCCUGACGCAGCCAUGCCGCGUGAAUGAAGAAGGCCUUCGGGUUGUAAAGUUCUUUCGGUGGUGAGGAAGGCUAAUAUGUUAAUAGCAUAUUAGAUUGACGUUAGCCACAGAAGAAGCACCGGCUAACUCCGUG
rnacentral:rRNA from 1 species